rnacentral:lncRNA from 1 species
AUUGUAUCGUUUGCUGUUCAAAAACUGGGUGAUUUCCUCAUACAAGAAGUUGCCCUGUUUAGAAGUCUGAGAGAGGAUGUGCAGUGGCUGAGAAAUGAGCUGCUCUUCAUGCAAUCUUUCCUCAAAGAUGCAGAACAAAAGCAAAAUGAAGAUCAAAAAGUUGAACAAUGGGUGUUUGAAAUCAACUCUAUUGCUAAUGACGCUGUGGCUAUACUCGAGACUUACACCUUCGAGUCUGAUAAAGGUAGUGACCCUGGAUUUGCUAGCCAUCUGAUGGCUUGCGCCUGCAUAUGUACGAAGGAGACCAAAUUCUACAAAGUCGGCAAGGAGAUCCAAUCACUGAAGCAGCGAGUCAUGGAUAUCUCUCGCAAAAGGGAGACAUAUGGUAUUAGAGACAUCAACGAUGCAGGAGAAAGGUCACGUAAUCAGUCCGCCAUGGUUAGAUCAUUGAGGAGAACUACGUCCUAUAUAGAUGACGAUCAUAUUUUUGCUGGCUUUCAGGAUGUUGUAGAAAGCUUGCUAGCUGAACUUCUCAAAGAAGAGCCUCGUCGAAGUGUCAUCUCCAUUUAUGGUAUGGGUGGUUUAGGCAAGACCACUCUUGCAAGAAACCUCUACAACUCUCCUACUGUAGUCUCUAGCUUCCAAACACGCACUUGGAUAUGUGUUUCUCAAGAGUACAGCACCAUGGAUCUCCUUAGGAAUAUCAUAAAAUCCAUCCAAGGUCGCACAAAGGAAAGUCUGGAUUUGUUGGAAAAGAUGACAGAGACGGAUCUAGAAAUUCACCUUCGUGACCUCUUGAAAGUUCGCAAAUAUCUUGUGGUGGUUGAUGAUGUAUGGCAGAGAGAGGCAUGGGAAAGUUUGAAAAGAGCCUUCCCAGAUAGCAAGAAAGGAAGCAGGGUGAUUAUUACCACACGCAAAGAGGAUGUUGCUAAAAGAGCAGAUGACAAAGGUUUUGUCUAUAAACUUCGUUUCCUUAGCGAAGAAGAAAGUUGGGACCUCUUUUGCAGGAAACUACUUGAUGUUCAGGCAAUGGUCCCAGCAAUGGGAAGGUUAGCUAAAGAUAUGGUGGACAAGUGUGGAGGCUUACCUCUUGCAAUUGUUGUAUUAAGCGGGCUACUUUCUCAUAAAAAGGGGCGAGAAGAAUGGCAAAAGGUGAAGGACCACCUUUGGCAGCAUAUGAAAGAUGACUCCAUUGAAAUCUCAUAUAUACUCUCAUUGAGCUACAACGAUUUGUCAACUUCGCUCAAGCAGUGUUUUCUUUACUUUGGUAUUUUUCCAGAAGAUAGUAUGGUCGGUGUUGAAAAGAUAAUGUGGUUGUGGAUGGCCGAAGGAUUCAUACCAAGAGGAGAAGAAAGAAUGGAGGAUGUUGCUGAACGCUUCCUAAAUGAGCUUAUAAGACGAAGCUUGAUUCAAGUCGUAGAUACAUUUUGGGAAAAAGUUAUUAAAUGCAAGAUCCAUGAUCUAGUUCGGGAUCUUGCCGUGCAAAAGGCAUUGGAGGUGAAGUUUUUUGACAUUUGCGAUCAAAGAAAUCACUCCAUAUCCAGCUGUAUCAGACAUGUCAUUCAUGGUCAAACACAAAGGUAUCUCUCACUUGAUUUCCCCAACUUGAUAUUAAGGUCAAUUAUGUUUCUAGAUCGAGAUUUUGGUAAGCUGGAUCUUUUAAAGUUUCGUAAUGUGUUCCAACAUUUAUAUGUGUUGAACUUGGAUCUGACGAUUUGUCAUGGCAGUAAACUACCUGAUGCCAUUGGAAGUUUGUACCACCUCAAGUUCUUAAGCUUGAUAGGUCCCGAUCAGAUUAAUCUCCCCUCCUCCAUUGGCAAUCUCAAGAAUUUACAGACACUCAUCAAUCACUAUGAUGAUGGAAGUGGUUCAAAAGCCUGCGGCUCACUACCUCCCGAGACAUCUAACCUAAUUAAGCUGAGACAUUUAAUUGCUUUCUAUUCCCAACCUCUGCAACUUAGCAAACUCACUAAUCUUCAAGUUCUUAAAUACAUUUGUUGUGAUCAGUGGAAAGAUUUUGACCCUGUUGGUUUAGUCAAUCUUGGAGAAUUAGACAUGCGUAAUAUUAAGAAAUCUUACUCCCUAAAUAACAUUAGCAGCUUGAAAAACCUUAGCACUCUCAUAUUGGGUUGUGCAAGUGGUGAAUCAUUCCCAGCCCUUGAAUAUCUUACUACUUGUCAAAAUCUACACGAAUUGUGGUUAGAUGGGAGAAUAGAAAUACUGCCUCAGUUUCCAAACUCCAUCACAAUGGUGGUCCUUUUGUAUUCGAAACUCAUGGAAGAUCCGAUGCCUAUGCUGGGAAUGUUGCCAAACCUAAGGAAUCUCGAUCUAGUAGAAGCUUAUGAAGGAAAAGAAAUAACUUGCAAAGGUAACAGCUUCAGUCAACUGGAGUUCCUUCGUCUUGAUAGUCUUUGGAACCUAGAAAGAUGGCAAUUAGCCACAAAUGCUAUGCCUCUGAUUAAAGGCUUUGGUAUCCAUGACUGUCCAAAGCUGAAGGAGAUUCCCAAGAGAAUGAAAGAUGUUGCUAUCCUGGAGAGGUUGAAGUCAAUUCCUGUUGAGGUAUAUUUUAUUUAUAAAUUAAUUCUUAUCUAUAAUGACCAUUAAAUUUAAUGAAUAAAACUGAUCCAACAAGAUGUUUUGUUUGACAUUUUUAUAAACAUUUAACUUGUAUACCCAUGACAAUUUAAAGAAUUUUCAUAUUAUCAACUUAAUAAAAUAUCAACUAUAAGUAAUUGUUUAUAAAUAAAUUAAUUAUGACCGAGACUGUGUUUGGUAUGACAGAAGUCAUUUUCCUAGAAAAUAUUUUCUGGUGGCUGGUUGGUGAAUGCAAAAUAUUUUUUGUAUAUAUUAAAAAUUAAUAAUAAUAAUAUUAUCAAAUUGAAAAGUGUUCUAAUGAAAUUUUUAUGUGCUAAUUAAGACUAAUGAAAAUGUCUAAGUAGUCAGAGCAACCAAUAUGAAGGUAAAAUUUAAGAUAGUUUUACAGAGAAAGUCAUUUUCUCCAUUUCGUUGGAAAAUGUUCCGAUAGGCAAACACUAGAAAAUGACUCCUAGUGAAAAACGUUUCAUGAAAAAGCGGCCCGAGUUUUAUUGGAAACCUUUUUUUUUUUGGUAAUCAGUUUUAUCGGCAAACUAUUAUUCGGUUGACACUUGCUACUAUCAUGAAGAUUAUAAUUAGUCAUUUUAGGUAAUUCAUAAUUUUUUGUGUAUUUUCCCCACUUGCGGGAUUAUACUGGGUUUGUUGUUGUUGUUAUAUAAUUUUUUUGUAUUUUCUUGAAUACUAAUUAUGAAUAUUAUAUAGUUUUGGAUUUAGGCGAAAUAGGAGAAGCAGCUGUUAAGGAAAAAUAAAAAGGCAAAUGCGGACUUGAUACAAUGGUUAUAAAAAAAGGAAGGGAAAAAAAAAAGGAAGAUGCGGAAUUUCUGCCAAGCACUUUGAGACAUUUGCAGUUGGAUUUUAAAAGUACUAAUCACAGUUGUCUACCACUUUACAGAGUAUUUUAGCACUGUCAGUUAGAGCUUUUUUUGGUUUCCCACUCCGUGUCCGAUAUCCGUAUUGGGGCUCGACUAAAUUUGGAUUCACGCCGGGAAGUCCCAUAGUGAAAGUAAAGAACUCUCUAACAAAGGCGACUCCAUACAGAGGCUCACACCCGAGACCUCUGUUUAAGGAUGAAUGAGUACUUACCACUACACCACAACCCUUGUUAGUUUGUCAAUUAGAGCUUAUCUCAACUUCUCUGUUUAGUUUCUUUUGAGUGUUUGAAAUUGGUUUGAAGACAAUUGUUUUUCGGAUUGUACUCGAAAAACUAUUUUCUAUUGUUUUAAUUGUUCAACUAUUAUCUUGCUUAUUUACAUUUAAGGCAAGGCUUUCUGUAAUAUAUUUCAACAUCUGUAUAUUCUGGAGUUAGAGAACAUCUAUUUUGCCAACAUAUUUGAACUCUCAUCCUCAGUUGACGGACUCAAAAGCCUACAAGUCACAAACAUGCUUGAUCCAGAUAUUGCUCAAGCAGAUUAGCUUGAUUAAUUUGAUUACAACAACAACAUAAUACCCAGUCUUAUUCCACACAGUGGGGUCUGGGAAGGUAGUGUGUACGUAGACCUUACCCCUACCUUGUGAGGAAAGGGAGGUUGUUUUCAAUAGACCCUCGGCUCAGGAAAGCAUAAGCACUACAAUAAUGAAAAUAUAGACAAGAAGGGACAAUCAAAAAGCCAUAUAAAAGCAGAAUAAAAACAAGAUAUUAAGGUAAUCAACAAUGAAAGAAAACAACGGUUAGUCAUAAAAACCUACUGCCCACAGAAAGCGAGACUACGUGCCAGCUUGAUUAAUUUGAUUAACUUAAGAGAUUAAAUUUAGCUACUCGAUAUGGAGAAACUCUGCAAGUCGGCAAACUCACAAAUUGACAAACUCCUAAAUACAUUCGAUAUGAUCAGAGGAAAAAUGUUAAUGGUGUUGGUUUGGUCAAUCCUCAAGAACUAGUUGUGGAAGUAUUUGGAAAUCUUACUCCUUAAAUACCGUUAGCAAUUUUCACUUAGUACUCUUAUGCUAUGUUGUAAAUCUUGGGAAUUAUUUCCAACCCCUGAACCACUUUCUUCUUUUCAAUACCAAACUAGUAAAAGGAAAAGCUCUACAUCUAAGCUAUAAAAAACCAGCCUAGUUGGAUGGAGAAUAUCAUCCUCCUACAAAAGGGGAAACAUUUCAGCAUUUCUGAACAUAACAUUUAGAUCAUAAGUUCACAUUUAGAGUUGCAACCAAUCAACUUCAUUUUUUUAAUUAAUUCAAGUAAUAGAAAAGCACAAUGCACAUUACCUAAAGUAUUGGCUAACACAAGGUUCCCUCAAUUAUGCUUUUCUUAGUUGUUCUCAACCAAUUCCUUAGAAUUUCUCCAUAUUUAAUCCAUAGUUCAAUCAUCAAUAGAUCAAUUUCAUCAUAAUAACUAUUACCCAAGGUUGCCCAUAUCAAUUAGACACCGAAGAGUGUGGCCCAGUGGUUAAUGAAGUGAUUGUAAACUUUGAAGACUAGAGUUCAAAUCUUAGCAGAGACAAAAAUACUAGGGUACAGUACUUCUUCUUUGUUCAGUCUUUCCAUAAAGAAUUUAACUUAUAUACAAUUGAAAGUGUAAAAACUUUUUCACUAUCAAAUGUACUAAUAGUGUAGAAAUUUUCUUGCAUUGUCUGUGCUCUUUGAUAAAUAUAUGUGCAGAAGAACUAGGGUAUAUUAUCAAUUAGUUUCCUUUUUCAUUUUUCACUUUUCUACAGGAUUUGAGGGGAGCCUUGAAACAACAGUAAAGUUGUAUCUGUGUGACCUAUAAGUAAUGGGUUCGAGCCGUAGAAGCAGCCACUAAUGUUUGCAUUAGGGUAGGCUAUCUAUAUCACACCCCUUAGGGUGCGGCCCUUCUCCGGAUCCACGGGAUGCCUGUGCACUAGGUCCAUAAUUUACAGAACUUUCUACCCCUUUUCAGCUGGCAAAUCCCAUUCUUCUACAAAAUGUCGUAACUAUGUUGACAACUACCAAAACACAGAAGAACUCAUUCCUGAGAGGGGACAUGAAUUAAGGAACUAAAUUACUUCUCCCCCCCCCCCCCCUAAGAAUAACAUGAUCAGAGUACUAUUAGUGAUUUCAAUUUUUAACAGCUAAAAAAUUGAUUAGAAUGUAUUAACAGAACAGUUUGACUUUGUGAAUAGGAAUGGAGGUACCUUUUUUGAAGAAUUACGAGGAAGAUUAGCUGAAGAAGAACAGUAAAUGUCUUGGAAACUUCCUUUCAUUUUCUUCAAAUGGAAAAAUAAAGAGUUUAGACUUUAUUACUUUUCAAAUUCGGAAGGUUAUUGGGUUCAUAGGAGGAUGACGGCGGAAGAGGGUGGCGUUGAAGGAAGCGGAGGGAGUUCUUCAGCUUCUGCUUCAGAGAUGGAGAAAGGAUCGUUAUAUCUUCCAUUGGAGUUGAGAUUGAGAUUUGAGACUGAAAUUGAAGGGUUUACAUUAUGUUUGUAGAGAAAUGCAAAAACGAAGGGAAGAUGGGGAGGAAAUUUUAUGUAGCUAUACAUCGAAAUUUUUCUUU